ACUCCAGCUCUGGUAACUGAAGUCCUCUAUUUAUCCACAGAUUAGCUACAGCAUGGACAGAAUUAGUGCAAGCUUCUCAACAAUGUCCUGUUAAUGUGACUCAAACCUGAGAACUUGUCCAUAGAAAGAUAAGUGUCAUUUCAUUUGCUUCCAACCCCAUUCAGGAUCUAAUCAAAU
rnacentral:sRNA from 1 species